rnacentral:rRNA from 1 species
AGAGUUUGAUCAUGGCUCAGAUUGAACGCUGGCGGAAUGCUUUACACAUGCAAGUCGAACGGCAGCACGGGAGCUUGCUCCUGGUGGCGAGUGGCGAACGGGUGAGUAAUGCGUCGGAACGUACCGAGUAAUGGGGGAUAACGCAGCGAAAGCUGUGCUAAUACCGCAUACGCCCUGAGGGGGAAAGUGGGGGAUCGCAAGACCUCACGUUAUUCGAGCGGCCGACGUCUGAUUAGCUAGUUGGUGGGGUAAUGGCCUACCAAGGCGACGAUCAGUAGCGGGUCUGAGAGGAUGAUCCGCCACACUGGGACUGAGACACGGCCCAGACUCCUACGGGAGGCAGCAGUGGGGAAUUUUGGACAAUGGGGGCAACCCUGAUCCAGCCAUUCCGCGUGAGUGAAGAAGGCCUUCGGGUUGUAAAGCUCUUUCAGCUGGAACGAAACGGUACGCUCUAACAUAGCGUGCUAAUGACGGUACCGGCAGAAGAAGCACCGGCUAACUACGUGCCAGCAGCCGCGGUAAUACGUAGGGUGCGAGCGUUAAUCGGAAUUACUGGGCGUAAAGCGUGCGCAGGCGGAUUGUUAAGCAAGACGUGAAAGCCCCGGGCUUAACCUGGGAAUGGCGUUUUGAACUGGCAGUCUAGAGUGCGUCAGAGGGGGGUGGAAUUCCACGUGUAGCAGUGAAAUGCGUAGAGAUGUGGAGGAACACCAAUGGCGAAGGCAGCCCCCUGGGAUGACACUGACGCUCAUGUACGAAAGCGUGGGUAGCAAACAGGAUUAGAUACCCUGGUAGUCCACGCCCUAAACGAUGUCAACUGGUUGUUGGGGGAGUGAAAUCCCUUAGUAACGAAGCUAACGCGUGAAGUUGACCGCCUGGGGAGUACGGUCGCAAGAUUAAAACUCAAA